rnacentral:rRNA from 1 species
UACAGAGGUCUCAAGCGUUGUUCGGAUUCAUUGGGCGUAAAGGGUGCGUAGGCGGCGCGGUAAGUCGGGUGUGAAAUCCUGGAGCUCAACUCCAGAACUGCCUUUGAUACUGGGAAUCUCGAGUCCGGGAGAGGUGAGUGGAACUGCGAGUGUAGAGGUGAAAUUCGUAGAUAUUCGCAAGAACACCAGUGGCGAAGGCGGCUCACUGGCCCGGUACUGACGCUGAGGUGCGAAAGCGUGGGGAGCAAACAGG